ensembl:lncRNA
UUCCAUUCAGAUGUGUGUGUGUGUGUGUGUGUGUGUGUGUGUGUGUAUGCAUAUGUGUGUGUGUGUUCUGGGGCCCAUUCACAUACAUGUACAUGUGUAACUAUGCGUUUGUCUCUGUGUGCAUGCAUAUUAUUAUGUGUUUCUGUGUGUGUGUGUGUGUGUGUGUGUGUGUGUGUGUGUCUGUGUGUGUCUGUGUGUGUGAGUGUGUGUGUGUGAGAGAGAGAGAGAGAGAGAGAGAGAGAACAGAAAGAUGGAGAACUUCAUUAAUCCCCAAAGGGAAUUUGCAGAUAUGGAGGAUAUUGGCACAGACAUACUAUAUACAGUUAUGUGUGUGUGUGUGUGUGUGUGUGUGUGUGUGUGUGUGUGUUGUGGAUGUUUGCACAAACAUAUACAGUUGUGCGUGUGUGUACAUAACUAACCCAUCUCCCAUUCUCUGGGUUGGAUUAACAGUGUCUGGAAGUGUUUCGGCGGUCUUCAUCCUCCUAGCAGUCGGCUUACUCCUAAUUUUCACAAAGAAAGCUUUGCCAUGGCAACAAAGACGAAACACCACAGACAGACCGGCCACCUACCGUAGAGUUGCCGUGGGGACAACCUCACACGCAAAUACCAAUCCCAGUUGUGGCAUCUCUCUAAGCGAACAGGAAGCAUCUGACGGGCCUGACCCGGCGCCAUAACAAACCAAAAGAGGAACUCUUUCCAGAGACUGACGUGAACACAGACUUUAAGUCUCAAGUGUAGCCCUGACGUCUGGAGAGACAUGCCAACACCUAGCACCUAGCAACACUCCGUGGGUGUAAGCCUCAACCAUAUUACAUCUUCUGCCAUUGCCUGAAGAAGAUGGUUAUAGACCCCUGUGCAGGCCUCCCACAAGGCUACAGUGAUUGAGUACUAGUGUAUACAAUAGAUUGGGUGGACUGUGUGGAAGUGAAUACAAGUACACAAGUAUGUUUUCAGUGAGGGAAUGACUGGGAUGUAUCCCAGUGGUACAUAGUCUCUGGUCUUAUCACCCUCAGUGUACAAAUAACAUAUUUAUGGCGCACAUCCUCUCCCUCUCUCACACGCACACACAAGGGAAAGACAGAGAUAUCAGACACACAUAUGUAUACAAUCAAAGUAUUGAUUAAUACCAGAUCAAGAACAAUUUGUCUGACGGUUAAGGGGCCGGCACGGUUGACGGAUUGCUCAUUGCAUGCUCCAGUGGUGACGUCAACACUGCGCCAAAACCUUAAAUGCCCACGCUUGGUGCGCGUGUGAGUUGCUGCAGUCCUCUCCUAAAUGAUAGGUGUCACGGAGUUGCGAAGUGUAGUUCAGUUUGACAGAGAAUACUGCACUAGCUUCUUAUAGCUAGCAGAAGGGUCUAACUGCUGUGUGCCAUAAAGCACACCGUAGUUCUCUCGAGAGGUGUCGCACCCUGUCCACCAAAGUUAGACAGUGCAAUACCAGGCUUACCAGGUGUGAUGUGGCAGUGGCACAGACACCAUUCUCCGUAUUACAAGUCAGUAUACCACCAAAAGGAUUUUGAAGCUGUUAUUUGAAGGUAAAAUUGUUGCUUUAGCUGUAUCACCAGUUUUCAUCUGUGGAUAAACUGCUGGAAGCAGCAAUAAGAGGGGGUAAUGUGCCAAGUAGAGCGCAGUGAAGUAGCCAAGGCUAAAUGACAUGACCGUUAAACAUCACUUGCAUUCAUGUGUGGAUUAAACGUUAAAGUUCUAAACGUGUCUGUUCAGUGUUUUGUUGCUAUUGUCACUAGCAAAACUUGAGUUGGGACAUUGUUUGUCUAGAGGCCAAUCCAGGAGGACUCUCUGCCUGUUAUGUCACUUCCUGUCAAUGUGUGUUGGUAAUCACCUGCUCGUUCGUUUGUCACAUGACCAAUCAGCCUAGUAUUUAUACCGGGCCCCUUGUCCAACUCCUUACUGAGUCUACGUGAUCUGUUGACCUUGGCUCACCACGCUGCAGCUACCUCUUGUCCUACUGUGAGUUUUUCUGGAUGUCCCUAGUUUGUUCUCUACUGUUUAGUAGUUAGAUGCUUCUUUGUUUUUUUGACUAAAGCUUGAAUUCACCUGGCUUGUGUGCCCUGUUUUGUCCAAGAGAUAUAUUUUUUUGAUCCUCUGUGUUUUGGGGAUUUUCCCUACCUUCUGUUCUCAUCUGGAUAUUCUGUGUUUUUUUUAAAUAAAGACAAAACCUUUUCUUAAGAUCUGCA